AGAGACACCAGUAGAUUGGUG
rnacentral:misc_RNA from 1 species